GGGCGAUUAGCUCAGCUGGGAGAGCUCCUGCCUUACAAGCAGGAUGUCGGCGGUUCGAUCCCGUCAUCGCCCACCA
rnacentral:tRNA from 1 species